UUCUUUGGUGAUCUAGCUGUAUGACUAUCUCUUUCUGAACAUAAAAGCUCAUAAAGCUAGAUUACCAAAGCA
rnacentral:pre_miRNA from 1 species